rnacentral:tRNA from 1 species
CAGGAGUUUCUUUAUUUAAAAUAUUGGUUUUGAGAACCAAGGAUAGAAAUGGUUUUCAAUUCUUGA